rnacentral:lncRNA from 1 species
AUGCCUGUGUGUGUGUGUGUGUGUGUGUGUGUGUGUGUGUGUGUGUGUGUGUGUGUGUGUGUGUGUGUGUGUGUGUGNNNNNNNNNNNNNNNNNNNNNNNNNNNNNNNNNNNNNNNNNNNNNNNNNNNNNNNNNNNNNNNNNNNNNNNNNNNNNNNNNNNNNNNNNNNNNNNNNNNNNNNNNNNNNNNNNNNNNNNNNGUGUGUGUGUGUGUGUGGGUGUGUGUGUGUGUGUGUGUGUGUGUGUGUGUGUGUGUGUGUGUGUGUGUGUGUGUGUGUGUGUGUGUGACAUUUAAUCAUGCCUCCAGCACACGCAGCAUGAUGAGCAUCUCUGUGGAAAACACCAGCAGUCCCAGUAGCCAAAUACAGGAUCUCACACAGACAGCAAGUCCCAGAGAUCGUUCCUGCAGGAAGUGAAGACUCAGAGGAGUGAAAACAAGGAGGUGAAGCAGCAGAGCGAGCAGAAAGUCAUUUACGAUGAACAGAAGAGGGACGCAGAUGAGGAGCCAUCACGGCUUCUCGCUGAAGAACACCCCCGUGCUCGUGGUUGGGGUUUUUAUUUUCUUUAUAGUACUUUGUGUUUAUCUGGAGCUGAUGCUGACAUUCCCAUGGUGACGGAUACUUGGUGUGAUGUUUUGGUUAAAAUAAAUAAGAUAAUGGGAAAAUUCACUGGUUUUUGGUGCUUUUGUUUGAUUUGUUGAGACUAAACAAUUAAAUGUGUCAGUGUUCCUUAGAAAAAUGCCUGAAUGCAGAAAUGAUUAGAUAAUAGUGUUGCAAAAACCCGGAAAACUCCCAAAUUAUACUGAAUUCCAAGUAAAUAUAACCAGUUUAUCACAUUAGAGAAACAGGGAUGGAGCCAAAGUUCCCUAGUUCGUAAAAUACGUAAAUAGUUUAUUUAUGGAUUGUGGUGAAAUGUUAACAGAAUGUUGCACUAAACACACAAAAUCACAUCUCCGGCUUCACACGGCACCUAUAUUUUGAAAUGUAUUUUCUUUUGUCAGAAAGCAAACCCGCUCUGAGGAAAAGGGCAUGCAAUUUGUUUUUUAUGUGAUGCAACCAGCUGCAACGUUUAGUAAUGCAGCAGAGAAGUGAGGAUGUGUUUCUGGUUGUGCUUGUUUUUCUUCCGUCGAAAUGAGAGAAACGCUGGUUCAGCACGCAGUAAAGCAACCCACAGGGUCUGACUCUUAAACCUAGUCCUCCUCCAGAAACUGAUUUCACCGCGGGGCCCGUGGCUCUCCAUCCCAGCAGCCCUUUGGCCCACAUGACAACAGGCAGCCUGUUUUCCCCACAACAUAGCAACACUGCCCUGAGCUAGCUCUGACUCAAAACAGAUCCCCAGCCAAGGUGGCAGGAGCUCCGCGGUAAAAAACAAACACUGCAACGGCCUCGGAGGCUGCAGACGUGUCACACUGGCUGUUAAACCGACGUGAUGUCACUGGAGAUUUGCACGUAUUUGCUUUGCAUGUAGAAAUUAGAAACAAAAGAGCCUUUGAGUGGAGGAAGCUGCAGAACCAGAGCCUCAGCUGGGACAUCUACUGUAAGUCUGAUUCAUCGGUUUCAGGAGUUUGACUCAUUCCUGUGGACAUGCAGCCGGCUGCAGAGCUGCAGCACCAGCCUGAGUCAGGAAGCACGCAGGACGGGUAAUUCACCCGCAUGUCUUUAGUCCCCUUCAGACGAGUCUGUUGUUUGUCCUCGAGGACGAUUUUGUUGUGUUUAUAUGCCCUCAUGCAUAUCAAUUACCAAGGUUUGUGUCAUCCUCAAGGUGCCUGAAAAUUAGGUUUCAAUGUCAGCUGAGAGACAUUCCAGACAAAAAUAACAGCUUUCACCUCCAGGCUGCCUCGCUGUCACGGCGCAGCGACUGAACCUGAAACCCUCCCAUCUAACAGCAGUGAAACCCAGACUUGCACAAGCAACACAUUCUUCUUGCAUCAGCACAUGAGCUCCUUUCCCCUGCAACAGUUGAGCUGUCAGUAACUGAGGUGAGUGUUUAUGGAGCGAACCUUCCCCGGGCCUCUUCGCUGUCACACAUGGAGGAUUGAAUUCCUGAAAAACUUGGACAACAAAAAUGGCGUCAUCCUCGUUCUGAGUCAGAGGCGCAUUGUGCCCUGGAUGAACUUCCUGUUUCAGCCUGCCACACAUAUAGGGUUUCUCCAGCCGAGCCACACGCAGGAAGUGAGUCACACAUAUUCACCAGUCGUCUGCAAGCCUGCAGACUCUACAGGCCCGGGAGUGACAGGCCGUGGAGGGGACCAAAUUAGCUUCUGAAACUUUAAUCUCCUUCAACUCAAUUAUUUAAUAUCUGAGCCACCCACCCACUUCAAAGGAACACCUCAGCUCUCUCCUCUCCAGCUGCCUUGAUGGAGGCUUUCAAUCCCGUCUCCUGAAGGACUCACCCGUUUUAUAUCUCUGCCCUGCGGUUUGAAUGACACUCUGCUGAAAUCUUACAGCACUCCCUUGAAAUCGGAGAUAUACGGCGCUAAUAAACCACGGCGCAUUAGGAGUCCUGUUAGCUGGAGUCGAAAUUAUAGUCUGACAGAAAUGAGCUUCCUCUCUUUUAUUUACCUGUUCCUUACUUCCUAUCCAACUGUAAAACAUCAUUUGCAGCUGCAGAGUGUAAUCUAUUCACACUCAAAAGGACAUGAGAAGGAAUCCAUUACUGUGAUUUUAAAUAGCGUGUGAAAAUGAAAGCUUACAAAACAAGCAAUAGAUGAGAAAGUUAAAUUUAAAAUAUCCGUUUACAGUAUGAAAGAUCAGAGAAACAAGCCGACAGUAAGGGUAAUAACCUUAGGAACAGGGAGUUUAAAGUAUUUUGAAUUGGCCUUGAUUCUUUUUUUGGUCUUACACACCCACAGAACACAUUUCCAGACCUGCAUAGACAUUAGCUCAGUGGAAAAGUGGAUCAGAGAAGUGGAAAGAUAAUCCCGAGACAAAAAAGUGGGGGCUGCUGCAACCGCAUAGAGGCUUUCUAUUCCUGCAGAUUGAAAUUUUGGCUCACACAUCCUGCUGCAGUCACAUGAACUCACAGAAAAAUGGACAUGCAGGCAUUCGGAGAUAUGCCUCUCCCAACAUGAUGGACAAUCUACUCAGAGGAAGUUUCCGGACGUGUUGAAAUGUGUUUUUGUGUGCACCUUUAGAAUAAUUUCUACCUUACUUGUACGUAUUACACCAUGAGUAAAAUUCUAGCUGCGGCUAAUAAAGGUCACAAAAACACAGAAUUUCAUCUGAUCUAUGAUGGUUUAUAAAAUAACAUAAUCUGCUGUUUUAAUAGCGGCAAAAACAGAGUUUUGUUUUAUCUAUAGCUACAUGAAGGCUAGCUAACCAGUGGAGAUGUAAGCAAAACCCUUUCAGGAAUGCAUUUAUAACUUUUACAUAGAAAAACAGUUAAAUGCUAAAAUAGCCCUUUCCUUUAUGCAAGGUUAUUUUUCUACAAUGUGGAAAUUAUUAGUCAUCACACUCUCAAAGGAGACAUAUUACAACUUUUUAAAUAGUUGUAAUAUUUCUAUGACCUUUGCAAAAAUGUUUAUGAGGUUCUUUGCAUGAAAUCAAUGUCAUAUGAAGCUCUGUCAGCAGUUUUGUUCUUGACAUUUUCAGUACCUUCCAGAAUGAGCCGUUUCAAGGCUCUGUCACUGGAGCUGGCCACGCCCACCCCCCAUCUGAUUGGCUGAUAUAAACUGAGAAGCUUCAAUAUCCAGGAGGGGCUCAAAGUAGAGUCUCCAGUCCGAUUAUGCGGGGGUAUUAAUGCUAAUUCCUCCAGUUGUGACAUCAUAAACAUAGACUUAGUGCAACAGCUCUUUUUAGGCACCAAAUUCCUGAAACCAGACACUGAAUGAAUGGAUUGGGGUUUUUUUUUCAUUCUUGGAGUGCGCUUUUACUGCGGUUGUGUCAGCGCCGACACAAAACGGCUUCCAUACUUUGAACUACCGUAACUCUUCAACCGUUUACGCAAUCAACGUAAUUCCAGCGGAUUCUGAAAGCCGAGCCUCUACGCUUUCCAGUGGCCUGUGGGACUCCAGAGGCAGCUGACGGGUACCGGCAGUCAAAGCGGAACGCGGCUCGGGUGGUCGCCAUGGCAAAAACCUGGGCAUGGGAGGAGUUCAGUGAGACCAUGGAGCAAGACUUCCAUAUGGCUUCAAGGAGAUUCUGGUCCACCAUCCGGCGCCUCGGGGGGGANGGGGGCAGUGCGCUACCAACUCUAUCUAUAGUGGGGACGGUGUGCUGCUGACCUCUACUCAGGACGUUGUGGAUCGGUGGGCAGAAUACUUCGAAGACCUCCUCAAUCCCACCGACACGUCUUCCAGGGAGGAAGCAGAGUCUGGGGACUUUGGAUUGGCCUCUCAAGUCUCUGGUGCUGAGGUCACUGAGGGGGUUAAAAAGCUCCUCUGUGGCAAGGCUCCAGGGGUAGAUAAGAUCUGCCCAGAGUUCCUUCUGGCUCUGGAUGUUGUGGGGCUGUGUUGGCUGACGCGGCUCUGCAAUAUUGCGAGGACAUCGGGGGCAGUCCUACUGGACUGGCAGACCGGGGUGGUGGUCCCCUUAUUUUAAAAGGGGGACCGCAGGGUGUGUUCCAACUACAGGGGGAUCACACUCCUGAGCCUUUCUGGUAAGGUCUAUUCAGGGGUUUUGGAGAGGAGGGUCCAUCGGAUUGUUGAACCUCAGAUUCAGGAGGAGCAAUGUGGUUUUCGUCCUGGCCGUGGAACACUGGACCAGCUCUAUACCCUUAGGGGGAUCCCGGAGGGUGCGUGGGAAUUUGCCCAACCAGUCUACAUGUGUUUCGUGGAUUUGGAGAAGGCGUUUGACCGCGUCCCUCAGGAGGACCCUGUGGGGGGUACUCCGGGAGUAUGGGGUACCAGGCCCUCUGAUACGGGCUGUUAGGACCCUGUAUGACCGGUGUCAGAGCUUGGUCCGCAUUGCCGGCAGUAAGUCGGGCUCGUUCCCAGUGAGAGUUGGACUCUGCCAAGGCUGCC